UCGUGGUAUGCCUCGAAAUCAUCCAACGAUGACAUUUUAUGUGGGUUAUCUUUACUCUUUGGAGUAUUCUCAAUCAAGUAUUGGUAUUCUCACGCGCUCAACAAUAGAGUAUGUCAUUUAGAUUUGACAAAUAUCUAUAUUGGGUAUUCUCAUGCGUUGGUCUUCUUACGUACUCAACAAAAUAUUAUGUCACUCUGCCUUGACAAAAAUACAUAUGAUAUUGCAUUGCUCAUCAACAAAUUGGAUAUUCUCAAGUGUUGGUCUUUUUAUGCGCCCAAUGAAAUGAAAGAAAUAUGGAGUUCGAAUUUGGACUGUUGGUCUUAAUGAAAGUUGUAGUUCGUCUUGAUACGAGUUCGUGAGCGCAAACGGUUUGUAAAUCCGAGUUCGGACGAGGAAGAUAUGAUCGAAACAAGAAAGUCGCGCGCAGCAGUGAAUAGUGCCCGACGGGAAUUUCCGAAUUUUCGGGAUUUUCGGAUUUUAUCAGUAUUUUCGAGCUCUGUACUGUAUUUAUCCCCUGUGCCUAUAUAUAGGUCUUCUUUUGACCUAUUCAGGGUUCCCAACUUUACUUUCUCAGUUCCCAACUAUAUUUUUCAGUUCCCAACUUUUAUAUUUCAGUUUUCAUAGCUUUAGAAUUUAUUGCUUUCCAGUUUUUACUGCUUGGAUUGGAUUUCCACAAGAUUGAAGAUUCAAGCUGACACAAUUGUUCUACUUUCGAUUUUUAUACAAUUCAGUUUUUAUAA